rnacentral:rRNA from 1 species
GGAACUGAGAGACGGUCCAGACUCCUACGGGAGGCANCAGUGGGGGAUAUUGCACAAUGGGCGGAAGCCUGAUGCAGCCAUGCCGCGUGUGUGAAGAAGGCCUUCGGGUUGUAAAGCACUUUCAGCUUGGAGGAAAGCUGUGGAGUGAAUAGCGCUACAGUGUGACGUUACAGGCAGAAGAAGCACCGGCAAACUCCGCGCCAGCAGCCGCGGUAAUACGGAGGGUGCGAGCGUUAAUCGGAAUAACUGGGCGUAAAGGGCGCGUAGGCGGUAGAGUAAGUCAGGUGUGAAAUCCCCGAGCUUAACUUGGGAAGGGCAUUUGAAACUGCGUUACUAGAGUGUUGUAGAGGGGGGUAGAAUUUCAGGUGUAGCGGUGAAAUGCGUAGAGAUCUGAAGGAAUACCGGAGGCGAAGGCGUCCCCCUGGACAAAGACUGACGCUGAAGUGCGAAAGCGUGGGUAGCGAACAGGAUUAGAUACCCUGGUAGUCCACGCUGUAAACGAUGUCGAUUAGGGGGUUGUGGCGUAAGCUAUGGUUCCCGCCGCUAACGCAUUAAAUCGACCGCCUGGGGAGUACGGCCGCAAGGUUAAAACUCAAAUGAAUUGACGGGGGCCCGCACAAGCGGUGGAGCAUGUGGUUUAAUUCGAUGCAACGCGAAGAACCUUACCUACUCUUGACAUCCACGGAAUUGUGCAGAGAUGCACAAGUGCCUUUAGGAGCCGUGAGACAGGUGCUGCAUGGCUGUCGUCAGCUCGUGUUGUGAAAUGUUGGGUUAAGUCCCGCAACGAGCGCAACCCUUAUUCUUUGUUGCCAGCACGUAGAGGUGGGAACUCAAAGGAGACUACCGUUGAUAAAGCGGAGGAAGGUGGGGACGACGUCAAGUCAUCAUGGCCCAUACGAGUAGGGCUACACACGUGCUACAAUGGCGGAGACAAAGUGAGGCGAGCCUGCGAAGGUGAGCGGAACACAGAAACUCGGUCGUAGUCCGGAUUGGAGUCUGCAACUCGACUCCAUGAAGUUGGAAUCGCUAGUAAUCGUAGAUCAGCAUGCUACGGUGAAUACGUUCCCGGGCCUUGUACACACCGCCCGUCACACCAUGGGAGUG